UUAGCUCAGUCGGUAGAGCACCUGACUUUUAAUCAGGGUGUCCCGCGUUCGAGUCGCGGAUAGAUCACCA
rnacentral:tRNA from 1 species